rnacentral:rRNA from 1 species
GAUGAACGCUAGCGGCAGGCCUAAUACAUGCAAGUCGAACGGUGUCUUCGGACAUAGUGGCGCACGGGUGCGUAACACGUAUGCAACCUACCUUACAUUGGGGGAUAGCCUUUCGAAAGGGAGAUUAAUACCGCAUAAGACAGUAGCUGGGCAUCCAGCAGCUGUUAAAGAUUUAUCGAUGUAAGCUGGGUAUGCGUCCAAUUAGCUAGUUGGUGAGGUAACGGCUCACCAAGGCAAUGAUUGGUAGGGGAACUGAGAGGUCAAUCCCCCACACUGGCACCGAGAUACGGGCCAGACUCCUACGGGAGGCAGCAGUAGGGAAUAUUGGGCAAUGGACGCAAGUCUGACCCAGCCAUGCCGCGUGCAGGAUGAAGGCGUUAUGCGUUGUAAACUGCUUUUAUACAGGAAGAAACGACUCUUGCGAGAGGCAUUGACGGUGCUGUAUGAGUAAGCACCGGCUAACUCCGUGCCAGCCGCCGCCGUAAUAC